rnacentral:rRNA from 1 species
CCUACGGGCGGCAGCAGUGGGGAAUAUUGCACAAUGGGCGCAAGCCUGAUGCAGCCAUGCCGCGUGUGUGAAGAAGGCCUUCGGGUUGUAAAGCACUUUCAGCGGGGAGGAAGGCGGUGAGGUUAAUAACCUCAUCGAUUGACGUUACCCGCAGAAGAAGCACCGGCUAACUCCGUGCCAGCAGCCGCGGUAAUACGGAGGGUGCAAGCGUUAAUCGGAAUUACUGGGCGUAAAGCGCACGCAGGCGGUCUGUCAAGUCGGAUGUGAAAUCCACGGGCUCAACCUGGGAACUGCAUUCGAAACUGGCAGGCUAGAGUCUUGUAGAGGGGGGUAGAAUUCCAGGUGUAGCGGUGAAAUGCGUAGAGAUCUGGAGGAAUACCGGUGGCGAAGGCGGCCCCCUGGACAAAGACUGACGCUCAGGUGCGAAAGCGUGGGGAGCAAACAGGAUUAGAUACCCCGGUAGUC